rnacentral:tRNA from 1 species
UGUCCAGGUGCGGGAAUCGAACCCACAACCUUCUGCUUACCGGGCAGGUGCCAUGUCCACUAGGCUACCCUGGAC